rnacentral:rRNA from 1 species
AUUGAACGCUGGCGGCAGGCCUAACACAUGCAAGUCGAGCGGAGCGGCGGACGGGUGAGUAAUGCCUAGGAAUCUGCCUGGUAGUGGGGGAUAACGUACGGAAACGGGCGCUAAUACCGCAUACUAUCAGAUGAGCCUAGGGCGGAUUAGCUAGUUGGGGGGGUAAGGGCCUACCAAGGCGACGAUCCGUAACUGGUCCGAGAGGAUGAUCAGUCACACUGGAACGGGAGCACGGUCCAGACUCCUACGGGAGGCAGCAGGGGUGAAUAUUGGACAAUGGGCGAAAGCCUGAUCCAGCCAUGCCGCGUGAGUGAAGAAGGUCUUGGGAUUGUGAGGCACUUUAAGUUGUGAGGCGUUACCAACAGAAUAAGCACCGGCUAACUUCGUGCCAGCAGCCGCGGUAAUAC